GCCCUCCAGCUCCGGGCAGCAAAGCCGGGAAGACCCGUGGGGUCAGAGCAGAGAGAACCUACAGGACCGUGGGGUCAGCUACCGCGGAGCUGGCUUGCAGGCUUUCUCCAGACUCCCCUUCUCUCGCCGUACAAUGGCAACGCUGAGGGGUCGGUGUUGGGGGGAUAAUCUCCACCGGUCACUCUCGAGGCACUGGGUAAUGAAGCUUGUGAAGCUAAAAGAGUUAAAGCAAGCCAGCGUGUAAUCAUGAAGCAAAUAACAGGAAGAAAAUUUCAGGGAUCUGGGAAGUUGAAGACUUACUGGAGUUAACCCAAGAAAUCUGAGGUUUCCCUGAGAACUUUAAAGAUGUUGCAUCAUUGUCGUCUUGCUUGCAUUAGUUUCCAGUGAGAAAUCGUCUAUCAUCCAUAUCUUCAUUCCCCCUUAUGCUCGUGUCGUAGCCUGCCCACCACGGUGUGUAAUCCCAGAACGACCACGUCCCUGCGUCACAGGGCUGCACAAAGCGCUGGUAACAGCCACAUCGAGACGCGAACUUGUGGCACCAGGCCU